rnacentral:tRNA from 1 species
UCCGGGGUAGCUCAAUGGCAGAGCAUUCGGCUGUUAACCGAAGGGUUGUGGGUUCGAGUCCCACCCCCGGAGCUA